GAGUUUGAUCUUGGCUCAGGAUGAACGCUGGCGGCGUGCUUAACACAUGCAAGUCGAACGAUGAUCCCCAGCUUGCUGGGGGGAUUAGUGGCGAACGGGUGAGUAACACGUGGGUAACCUGCCCCCGACUUCGGGAUAAGCCCGGGAAACUGGGUCUAAUACCGGAUAUGACCAUGGAACGCAUGUUUUGUGGUGGAAAGAUUUUAUCGGUGGGGGAUGGACUCGCGGCCUAUCAGCUUGUUGGUGAGGUAAUGGCUCACCAAGGCGACGACGGGUAGCCGGCCUGAGAGGGUGACCGGCCACACUGGGACUGAGACACGACCCAGACUCCUACGGGAGGCAGCAGUGGGGAAUAUUGCACAAUGGGCGCAAGCCUGAUGCAGCGACGCCGCGUGAGGGAUGACGGCCUCGGUU
rnacentral:rRNA from 1 species